GUAACGGUGUCUUUAGACACCACCAUUUUAUUCAAAAUUUUAAUU
rfam:Picea glauca, whole genome shotgun sequence.